rnacentral:rRNA from 1 species
AUUCCAGCUCCAAUAGCGUAUAUUAAAGUUGUUGCAGUUAAAAAGCUCGUAGUUGGAUUUGUGGCGCCUCGAGUGGUCCCUCUUUUGGGUACUGGUUCGAGGUGUCAUCCUUGGGUGGAACCUGUGUGGCAUUAGGUUGUCGUGCAGGGGAUGCCCAUCGUUUACUGUGAGAAAAUUAGAGUGUUCAAAGCAGGCUUACGCCGUUGAAUAUAUUAGCAUGGAAUAAUGAGAUAGGACCUUGGUACUAUUUUGUUGGUUUGCGCACCGAGGUAAUGAUUAAUAGGGACAGUUGGGGGUAUUCGUAUUCCAUUGUCAGAGGUGAAAUUCUUGGAUUUCUGGAAGACGAACUACUGCGAAAGCAUUUACCAAGGAUGUUUUC